GGAAAGGUGGCUGAGUGGCCUAAAGCAUUGGUUUGCUAAAUCAACAUACAUUUACAUGUAUCAUGGGUUCGAAUCCCAUCCUUUCCA
rfam:Nannochloropsis gaditana mitochondrion, complete genome.